rnacentral:sRNA from 21 species
ACUAAAAAGGAGGGAUUAGAAAUGAUCGAUAGUCCACCAGAGAAUUUAAUUGGAUUGGUUUAAACAGCCAGUUUUACUACACAUAACUAAGUUAGGAGAUUAAUUUCUAAAGGCGGAAGUUAAUCUCUUUUUUU